rnacentral:rRNA from 1 species
GGGGAAUUUUGGACAAUGGGCGCAAGCCUGAUCCAGCCAUGCCGCGUGCAGGAUGAAGGCCUUCGGGUUGUAAACUGCUUUUGUACGGAACGAAAAGACUCUGGUUAAUACCUUGUGCGGAUGACGGUACCAUCAGAAGAAGCACCGGCUAACUACGUGCCAGCAGCCGCGGUAAUACGUAGGGUGCAAGCGUUAAUCGGAAUUACUGGGCGUAAAGCGUGCGCAGGCGGUUAUGCAAGACAGAGGUGAAAUCCCCGGGCUCAACCUGGGAACUGCCUUUGUGACUGCAUAGCUAGAGUACGGUAGAGGGGGAUGGAAUUCCGCGUGUAGCAGUGAAAUGCGUAGAUAUGCGGAGGAACACCGAUGACGAAGGCAAUCCCCUGGACCUGUACUGACGCGCAUGCACGAAAGCGUGGGGAGCAAACA